rnacentral:rRNA from 2 species
AGUGGCGGACGGGUGAGUAACGCGUGGGUAACCUGCCUCAUACAGGGGGAUAACAGUUAGAAAUGACUGCUAAUACCGCAUAAGACCACAGCACCGCAUGGUGCAGGGGUAAAAACUCCGGUGGUAUGAGAUGGACCCGCGUCUGAUUAGGUAGUUGGUGGGGUAACGGCCUACCAAGCCGACGAUCAGUAGCCGACCUGAGAGGGUGACCGGCCACAUUGGGACUGAGACACGGCCCAA